rnacentral:misc_RNA from 1 species
GAUGAAGAACGUAGCGAAAUGCGAUAAGUAGUGUGAAUUGCAGACUUUAGUGAAUCAUCGAAUCUUUGAACGCACAUUGCGCCCCUUGGUAUUCCAUUGGGCAUGCCUGUUCGAGCGUCAUUUACACCCUCAAGCCUAGCUUGGUGUUGGGCGUUGUCCGCAAGGACUCGCCUCAAAUUCAUUGGCAGCGGCAUCGUCAGCUUCUCGCGCAGCACAUUGCGCUUCAGAAGGCUUCUGGCGGGCUCGCGUCCACUAAGAUACCACCCAGUUUGACCUCGAAGCAGGUAGGGAUACCCGCUGAACUUAAGCAUAUCAAUAAGCGGAGGA